GACACAACUGCUCCGACCAAUGGGAGACCGCCACCUAUUGCUACUACUACCCCCUCCCGUCAGGAGCCUUAGAUACACAUGAUGCCUACUCCGGGUGUGCCAAGAUCAUGCACUCAACAAGCCAAUGAACCUUCCAACACUGCCUCACAUGGUGUGCUGAGUGAUCCAGCUAUUGUAGUUCGCAGUCGAGCAGGAUCUUGUGGGGAAAGACAAAGCGCAUCUAAUAGUACCCAAGAUGUUCAGGGUCAAGGAACAUCCACUGCCACUGGUCACUCCAGCACAAGUGCUCCCAAGCUUAGAUAUGAUGUUGGCACUCACCUAAACCUGGAUUGAAGCGUAUUUCUCAGGUUUUUAAG